CGGGGGGGCGAAGCGUUGUUCGGAAUUACUGGGCGUAAAGGGCGCGUAGGCGGCCUGCUAAGUCGGACGUGAAAUCCCCCGGCCUCAACCGGGGGACGUGCGUCCGAUACUGGUGGGCUCGAAUCCGGGAGAGGGAUGUGGAAUUCCAGGUGUAGCGGUGAAAUGCGUAGAUAUCUGGAGGAACACCGGUGGCGAAGGCGGCAUCCUGGACCGGCAUUGACGCUGAGGCGCGAAAGCCAGGGGAGCAAACGGGACUAGAUACCCCGGUAGUCCGGGCCCUAAACGAUGUGUGCUUGGUGUGGCGGGUAUCGAUCCCUGCCGUGCCGAAGCUAACGCAUUAAGCACUCCGCCUGGGGAGUAUGGUCGCAAGGCUG
rnacentral:rRNA from 1 species